AAUAACAUUCUUAUGUAUAUUGACAAUAUACCUGUUCCCAUGGAAAGAUAUAGAUAGAUAAACGUGUAUUGUAUGUUUUGGUAUAUAUAAUACUGUGGAUGACUACGUACAAAGGGAUGCUGUUAUUGCCAACCAAUCUCAAGGACAUUAUUCUGGAACAAUUAAAAAUACAAGGAAGCACAUUCAAGUGCAAAAGUCACAAACAUUGUUGGUAGACUAGCAUAUGUAAUUCUCAAGGACAUUAUUCUGGAACAAUCAAAAGUACAAGGAAGCACAUUCAAGUGCAAAAGUCACAAACAUUGUUGGUAGACUAGCGUAUGUAAUUCACUGUGGAUAUUAUUGGUGCAUAGAAAAUAUUUUUGCUUGUAAAUUCUUGUUGAAUGAUUAGAAUAAAGAAUUGUGGUUCGGGAUGAAGUCUCCAUAAAAUGUCAACUUCAGGCCCAUAGACUCAAUAUAUGUCACACAUAAUAUAUCUAAAUUUAAGGACUGGCCAUGGGGGUUUACCCCCCAUGUUCAGGUUAAGGACUGGCCAUAUGGGUUUAGUGCCUUUGGUCAGGUUAAGGACUGUCCAUAGGGGUUUUGUGCUCCGAUUGGUCAGGGUAAGGACUGUCCAUACUGGUGUUUCGUGCUCCAGUUGGUCAGGUUAGGACUGUCCAAGUGAAUCUUGGUCAGAUUAUCAGUGCCAGUUCAGAAUCAGUGCAGCUAAUAGGGUGUGACAUAUGAGUAGGCAUGAUGCUUGUCAUAUACUGUAAAUGGACUCUUCACAACCCCGAACCCCUCUCCCACAAAAAUAAAUGAUUGUGUUUAAUAUUGUGUUUGUCGAGAAAGUGGAGGGAAAAAAUCAACAACUUGAG